ACAUGCAAGUCGAGGGGAAACGGCAUUUAGUGCUUGCACCGAAUGGACGUCGACCGGCGCACGGGUGAGUAACGCGUAUCCAACCUACCCAUUACUGUGGGAUAACCUGCCGAAAGGCAGACUAAUACCGCAUAGUCUUCGAUGACGGCAUCAGAUUUGAAGUAAAGAUUUAUCGGUAAUGGAUGGGGAUGCGUCUGAUUAGCUUGUUGGCGGGGUAACGGCCCACCAAGGCGACGAUCAGUAGGGGUUCUGAGAGGAAGGUCCCCCACAUUGGAACUGAGACACGGUCCAAACUCCUACGGGAGGCAGCAGUGAGGAAUAUUGGUCAAUGGGCGCGAGCCUGAACCAGCCAAGUAGCGUGCAGGAUGACGGCCCUAUGGGUUGUAAACUGCUUUUGUAUGGGGAUAAAGUCAAUCACGUGUGAUUGUUUGCAGGUACCAUACGAAUAAGGACCGGCUAAUUCCGUGCCAGCAGCCGCGGUAAUACGGAAGGUCCGGGCGUUAUCCGGAUUUAUUGGGUUUAAAGGGAGCGUAGGCCGGAGAUUAAGUGUGUUGUGAAAUGUAGACGCUCAACGUCUGACUUGCAGCGCAUACUGGUUUCCUUGAGUACGCACAACGUUGGCGGAAUUCGUCGUGUAGCGGUGAAAUGCUUAGAUAUGACGAAGAACUCCGAUUGCGAAGGCAGCUGACGGGAGCGCAACUGACGCUUAAGCUCGAAGGUGCGGGUAUCGAACAGGAUUAGAUACCCUGGUAGUCCGCACAGUAAACGAUGGAUGCCCGCUGUUGGUACCUGGUAUCAGCGGCUAAGCGAAAGCAUUAAGCAUCCCACCU
rnacentral:rRNA from 1 species